rnacentral:lncRNA from 1 species
UUUUUAUUUUUUUUUAUUUUGUCCUUUUGGGGCCGCACCUUCUAUGUAUGGAGGUUCCCAGGCUAGGGGUCUAAUCAGAGCUACAGCUGCCAGCCUACACCACAGCCACAGCCACACAUGCUUUUUCUGCCACCUAUACCACAGCUCACGGCAACGCCGGAUCCUUAAUCUGCUGAGCAAGGCCAGGGAUCGAACCCGCAGCCUCAUGGUUCCUAGUUGGAUUCGUUUCUGCUGCGCCACGACGGGAACUCCAGAGCUGCUUUUUAAACCAGAUGACUUAUGGCUCUGCUGGAGCACUGGUGCAGGUGAAGGAGGAUGAAGAGUAGAUUCAGAGUCUAUCUGCCACCCACUCUCCACGUGAAACCCACAUGGGCCUCAGUGGGUUUUUCACUUACACAACGGAGGGACUGAAUUAGAUCAGCGAUCUCCAAAAUAUACGUGGCCCUCGCCUAUAGUAAGAAAUAGAUUUUUCAUUAUGACUGAGUUUACACAAACCCACAUACAUAGCUGGAACAAAAGUUUCACAAAAUAACAUUUAUUCUCCUAUGGGCAAUUCUCCUAUUCCAUCCUAUUAUUUUUCAUUAAAAAAAAAAAAAAUGACUGCAAGCCCUACACUGAUUUCACAACCCACUGGUGAGUGACAACUCAUGCUUGGAGAUGUUUUUGACUUAGAUUACUUUUUCCCAAAUUGGUGUUCCUUGGAAUUAGUGGAUAAAUGUGCCAAAAACAAACAAAACACAAAGAAUAGUGUUUAUCACUACAAAGUAGUUAUAAAGAGCUGUAUUUCCAAAAUUUACUGACCUCAGAAAACUCCACAUAUAUUCUAAAGGAAAGUCCUAACAGCUCUGGAAAACUGUUUCCUCUAAGACCCAUUCAGGGAAACUAAACUGGGAGAUUUUAGGUUCUUUUCUGCCCCAACUUUCUAUGACACAGGACACUAAUUCUCAACAUGAUUUUCCUGUUCAUGCUACCACAGGAGGCAAUACUACCAUAUUAUUAUAUAGAUUAUUAUAUAGCAUCACAGCAAUACUAUAUCUGACUCCCCAGAGUUAUACCAUUCAUAUAUUCACAAUAACAUUUUAAGGAAAGUAACAAUUUUUCUGAGAAGUUUUAUGUUCACAGAAAUUGAGGGAAAGGUCCCCUCCGCCAUUGGGAUUUUUUAAGUUUAUAUAAUUUUUAUAUAAUCUCUCUAGGGAUUCUGACACCCUAACCCCUUGGUUCCCUUCAUGCUGAUCUGCAGACUUUGUUAAAAUCACAUUUUCCAGGACUAAUCGCAACACAGCUCAGUGGUUUAGGUGACUCUCUUAAGCUUAGCAUCAUUGCCACACCUGUUUAGAGUACUGAACCCAUCCUCACGUGGUCCAUUUUGCCACCCAAGCAGUCUGCUCAGCGUGGCACUUAUAAACCAAAAUGACCAGCAGAGGCUUCCAUUUCCCACCAUCUAAGACUUGCCUUGGCAAGUACGCACUUUCCCAGCACUGUGUUGGUAGUUAUUUAUAGCUUAAUUUGCAUACAUGUUAAGUCAACCAGAAUUAGCCAGGUAUUUUCAGAAGACUCUUCACUUGCUUAUUCCUUAAUGAAAUUAAUGUUAAUUCUAUAUCUUUAAUCUAGUUUAUGACUUCGCUGUCAAAUAAAGGGUGCUAAUUGCAUUUAUUCAUUUGAUUUCACAAAUAUUUACCGGGUUCAUAUACACUGAAGGUUCAGGUCAAUGAUUAGAGAGUUUUUUAAAAAGAACGUUAAGAAAACAUAUUGGUAGUUUCUAUCACAGCUCAGUGGUUAACAAACCUGACUAGCAUCCAUGAGGACGUGGGUUCAAUCCCUGGCCUCUCUCUGUAGGUUAAGGAUCUGGCAUUGCUGUGAGCUGUGGUAUAGAUUGCAGACAAGGCUCAGAUCCUGCACUGCCGUGGCUGUGGUGUAGGCCAGUGGCUACAGCUCUGAUUUGACCCCUAGCCUGGGAACCUCCAUAUGCCGAGGGUGAGGCCCUAAAAGCCAAAAAAAAAAAAAAAGAAAGAAAACAUUGAUUUAACAACAAUGACCCCCCCCAAAUACUCAACCCCAAAAAGGGGUUAAUUAGCCCUUGCCAGUUCUCCCUAAAAACAUAUUUUAAAAAAAAUUACACAUUCAAAAAUGAUUAGAAAGAUGGUUGUGUAGUCAUUUAUUCCAAAAGACAACCAAGUAUUCAAAGCAGGCUUAGAGGAAAAAAACCAAACCAAACCUGUGUUAUCUGAGAGUGGAAUCCAUGGACAAGGUACGUUCUUUAAUAUUGAGAAGUUUGGGGAGUUCCCUUCCUGGUUCUGCGGUUAACAAACCCGCUUGGAUCCAUGAGGGUGUGGGUUCAAUCUCUAGCUUCGCUCCGUGGAUUGGGGAUCCAGCGAGGCCAUGAGCUGUGCUGCAGAUCACAGACAAGGCUCGGAUCCUGUGCUGCUGUGGCCGGCAGCUGUAGCUCUGAUUCGACCCCUAACCUGGGAACCUCCAUAUGCCAAGAGGGUGGCCCUAAAAAGCAAAAAAAUUAAAAAAUAAUAAUAUCAAGAAGUCUGAAUUUAUUUUAAUCUCCCAAAUCAUAAAACUCAAAUCACACAUUUGGGACAUUAUUGUAUAAUUCUCUCCCACAUCCCAUUUACUUUUCUAUUUUGUCUAAAAUAGAAAAGACAUCCUUACACAAGUGUGCACACACGUGCACACACAUAUACAUCCCCGACUUCCCUCUCCACUUCCCGCAACAGUGCCCACCUCCAUGCGCACAAGUCAGGCCCCCUCUGCUUCCUCUCCGCCCCAGUUCCCACCAAGUCCCAGGGCAUCGUCUCCCUCCACCUGUCUUGGUUCCUUCCCCUCCACGCUCAGUUUCAGACCUUCAAAGACCUCAUCUACUGCAAGGGCCCCCUAACUGCUCUUGCCUCCUGGCCUCCAUCGUCCCACCCUCAUCCUGCCACAAAACUGAAAAUGCCUUUUAAGAAAUGACGGGCCAUCCUUCCUCCCCCAGGCUCACCUCUCCAACUGUCAGAUACUGGAGACCAUCCCACAGAAGGCAGUGACCACCAGGUACCAAAUGAUGGUGGGAAGAGCUGAGCCUUUGGAUUCCAGAGAGUGAGACUCUGCUGGCUCAGGUCCCAGCUCAGCCACGAGCAAGCUGGGGGACCUGCCCUUUGCAGGCCCAGGACUGCCUCUCUUAGUCUCAGUUCUCGACAAUAUAAAACAGUGAUAAAAUUAAACGCACUGGAUUCUUAAAAGAAUUAAGACGGAUUGCAUAUUGCAUAUAUAUAUAUAUAUCAUAUAUCAUGUCUGUUAUACCAAGUCUGGCACAGAGCAGGUGCUUGGUUUUCUGCCUCCCACCCAAGAUCCCGAAUGGCUUAGGGUUCAAAGCAGGAGGGACUAAUGAGAUUUUAAAUUCUUUACACAGGCAUGCUUCAUUUGAUUGUGCUUCACUUUACUGCUCUUUGCAGAUAAUUGCAUUUUUUUUUUUUUUUACAGAUUGAAGGUUUAUGGCAACCCGGCAUCAAGCGAGUCUAUUGGUGCCAUUUUUCCAAAAGCAUCUGCUCCCUUCGUGUCUCUGUGUCACGUUUUGGUCAUUCUCACAGUACUUCAAACUUUCUCAUUACUGUUAUAUUCACUAGGGUGAUCUGUGGCCCGUGAUGUUAGUGCUACGACCCACGGAGGGCUCUGAUGAUGGUAUCUUUCACGAUAAAGCGGUUUUCAGUUAAGGGAUGUACACCGUGUUUUUAGCCGUAGCACUACUACACUCUUAAAAGACAGGCGCAUAGGGGAAGCAUAACUUUUAUAUGCACCAGGAAAUCAAAAAUUUCCUAUGACUCGCUUUGUGGCGCUACUGCCUUUACUGCAGCGGUCUGGAACCGAACCUGCAAUAUCUCCAGGGUCUGCCUGUAAUCCUACCAGUGCUCAAGAGCCUACAUUCAUGACUUCAUUCAUUUCGCAGAAGUUGGGCAUAUCGGGGGGGGGGGGGGGGGUUUUGUUUUAUUCCGCAUCAAAGAGGGGCAUUAGAGAAAUUCAGGUCGGUCUGUUUCUGACUUUGACUUCAACAACAGCGAUGACAGAAAAUUCCACAUCUAAGAGGUGAGGGUAAGAGGGGGUUAGAAAGAGGGAGCUUCAAAGGGCUGCAAUAAUACAAUUCCAUUGGUGCUACCGGAUGCGCAAUCCUGCCUUUCUCGAGAACAGCCCACGAAAGAGCUGGGAGGAGGCACUGCUCAAGUGACGGGGCCUCAGAGUGUCAGGCCCGGGUCUCUGGCCAGAACACCUCCUUGCAGGAUCCCCCAUAAAAAUCUGUGGACACAGAUUCGAAAGUACAAAGACUCACGACCAUCUUUUAGCAGGUAGGAAAGGACACUGCUUGGGUGACUUUCUUCUUGAGGGAUGAAAGGAAAAGAGUGAGAUUUCCUGGGAGAAAGAAGGAAGAUCUGGAGCAGGGAGGAGACGGGCUUUGUUCUCAUCAAAGAAGAAAAGAAUGUAGGAGAAAAAAAGAAAACUAAUGAGCUGCCGCCAGGAGAUUUAAGCACGGAUUAUGUAUCUGGUGGAGAAUGCGUACAAUUGACUGUUUUGGCCGGCCUGCGGUGAAAACUUUUCCCACUAUGAUUAGGGAAGGGAGAGCCAGAGUGCCUUACCUUUCAAGUGCUCUGUUCUGCACUAAGUGUUCAGAGGAGGUUUCUUUUCAGUUAGGAGCAGAGGGAGGCUUCUUUUCAAAGGAAUAAUGAAUGAGACAAAGCUGGAGCGAUUCCUGGCCCGGCACCACCUCAGGCACAUUUGCAUGUUCCACAGCAGCUGCAAAAUGUGUAGUCUUCUGACAAUAUUUGGUGCUUUGGAGUCAACAGCUUGGAAUUUAUAACCAUUCCAUCCCAGAGUAGACUGAUGGGUCUCUUAGGCUUCAAGAGUGACCCGAUCCAAAGAGUCAGGCUUUGUGACACCUGGAGGUACACCAGGGCCUCGGCAGACAGAUGGGAAAGGAGAUGAAGGCCAGAAAUACCAACGCUGCAAAAUCACUGAAUUGUCACUAGAGGGGAGGGCUACAGGGCACUUCUCCCUCCCCCUCCAUACGCCCUUUGCCCCGACUAAAGGGAGGGAGGGCAGCCAAUGACCCCUGAGCAACCAGGAGAACAUUAUUUUGCACUUACAAUCUGAGCUCUGCCUUCGAAGGGAGAUCAUUGAUAAAUAUCUUUUGGGUAAAAUCCGCAUGCAGGGUUAAAGCACAGGGAAAGAGAACUCUAAAGGAAUCUGGGUAUUCACAGAUCUUACAUCUAGUGGAAACUACAGAAGCUAUAAUAUAUAAAGAUGCCCUUCAAUGCAAAUGAAUAGAUAGGGGUCAAGUUGGGAGGCCGCAUGCGUAAAAAUGAGACUAUACAAUUAUCAAGAGAAAGUCUUGGGAUGGUAAGGAAGAUCAAAUUAAAACGCACUGAUUUUCCUGUGGGCCAGGCACAAAUGCAUUUGAUGCCGCCUUUUGAUACUUAAUUUAAUGCCCAUGGCACCCUUUUGAGAAAGGUAUUCUUAUGUCACAAUAGCCAUGACAAAAAUGGAAGCUCAGAGAGCUCAGGUAACUUGGCCGAGGUCACAGUUAGAACCCAGGCUAGGUUCUAACCUGCAGCUCGUCCUGAGAUUUACUGGGGUUUGCUCUGGGCCUGGUUUGAUGACAGUCAGCCUGCAGGAGCUGGGAGGGAGCACAGGGAUGGGCCAUCGAGGGGUUCUCAGGCUGUCCUCCACCGUGUGCCCUCCUGUACAUGAGGUGCUGAGGCCUGGGGAGGCAGAGGACCUGCCCAAGGGCACUGAAGUUCAUCAGAGCCUGGGCCAGGAUGGGGCGCCUUGCCUGACUGCUGGUCUACCUCAGGGCCAGACUCAGGGGGCAGGGCAGGGCUGAGGAUGCCAGCGCCUCAUUUCAAAACCUUCAGAUCUGUACAUCUUUUUCACUUUUCUCCUUCUUGCUGUUGUUCCAGACUUGCCUCAGAGGACAUCACAGCUGUUGCAUCUGUCCAUCUGCCCCCAGGACCAGCUGGGGACCACUCCACCGCAAGUGCGGCCGGACCUGAGGCCAGGGACAGGGCUGGGAGCCUGAGGAACUCUCCAAAGCCCAUCUGGACAGCACCCUCCAGUGGGUGACACCGCCGGAAAGUUUAAAAGGGGGACAAUCCCUCUAUGUACCUCAAUUUCUCUACAAGCAGAGAAGGAAACGAGGCAGGGGUGGGUUGGGGGGACCAAGGAUGAUGACUAACUUACAAAAGAAUCCUAAGAUGCUCUACUCUUCUUAUAGCUAAACAAGAAAAAAAAAGAAAUAUAAGUCCCACAACUUGCAGAGGGGAAAGGGAGGAGAGAAGAAGGAAGAAGAAGAGGAGGGGCAGGGGGAGGAGGGGACAAAGGAUGGAGGGAGAGGAGGAGGGAAUUAGAGAAGGAAGAGAAAGCUACGAAAAUUCUUCUCACUUGUCUCCUCCGGAAAAAAAAAAAAAAAAA